GGGCCCGCACAAGCAGCGGAGCAUGUCGUUUAAUUCGAUGCAACGCGAAGAACCUUACCAGGUCUUGACAUCCAACUAAACUCGUAGAGAUACGAGGUCCCUUCGGGGGAGUUGAGACAGGUGGUGCAUGGUUGUCGUCAGCUCGUGUCGUGAGAUGUUGGGUUAAGUCCCGCAACGAGCGCAACCCUUAUGAUCAGUUACUAACGGGAAAGCCGAGGACUCUGAUAAGACUGCCGGGGACAACUCGGAGGAAGGUGGGGACGACGUCAAAUCAUCAUGCCCCUUAUGACCUGGGCUACAGACGUGCUACAAUGGCGACUACAAAGAGGAGCGAGACCGUAAGGUUAAGCGGAUCUCAAAAAAGUCGUCCCAGUUCGGACUGUGGGCUGCAACCCGCCCACACGAAGUUGGAGUUGCUAGUAAUCGCGGAUCAGCAUGCCGCGGUGAAUACGUUCCCGGGCCUU
rnacentral:rRNA from 1 species